rnacentral:rRNA from 1 species
UACGUAGGGUGCGAGCAUUGUCCGGAAUUAUUGGGCGUAAAGAGCUUGUAGGCGGUUUGUCGCGUCUGCUGUGAAAUUUCGGGGCUCAACCCCGAACUUGCAGUGGGUACGGGCAGACUAGAGUGUGGUAGGGGAGACUGGAAUUCCUGGUGUAGCGGUGAAAUGCGCAGAUAUCAGGAGGAACACCGAUGGCGAAGGCAGGUCUCUGGGCCAUAACUGACGCUGAGAAGCGAAAGCAUGGGGAGCGAACAGG